rnacentral:rRNA from 1 species
AGGCAGCAGUAGGGAAUAUUGGUAAUCUGCGAAAGCGGGAACCAGCAACGCCGCGUGCGCGAUGACGGCCUUCGGGUUGUAAAGCGCUUUUCGGGAGGAAGAGGAAGGACUGUACUCCCGGAAUAAGUCUCGGCUAACUACGUGCCAGCAGCCGCGGUAACACGUAGGAGGCAAACGUUAUCCGGAUUUACUGGGCGUAAAGCGCGUGCAGGCUGUUCGAUAAGUUGGGCGUGAAAGCUCCCGGCUCAACUGGGAGAGGUCGUUCAAUACUGUUGGACUAGAGGAUGGUAGAGGAAGGUGGAAUUCCGGGUGUAGUGGUGAAAUGCGCAGAUAUCCGGAGGAACACCAGUGGCGAAAGCGGCCUUCUGGACCAUUCCUGACGCUAAGACGCGAAAGCUAGGGUAGCAAACGGGAUUAGAUACCCGAGUAGUC